rnacentral:rRNA from 1 species
AGAACGAACGCUGGCGGCAGGCUUAACACAUGCAAGUCGAACGCUCGUAGCAAUACGGGAGUGGCAGACGGGUGAGUAACGCGUGGGAACAUACCCUCCGGUUCGGAAUAGCUCAGGGAAACUUGGAUUAAUACCGGAUACGGCUGAGAGGCGAAAGAUUUAUCGCCGGAGGAUUGGCCCGCGUUCGAUUAGCUUGUUGGUGAGGUAACGGCUCACCAAGGCGAUGAUCGAUAGCUGGUCUGAGAGGAUGAUCAGCCACAUUGGGACUGAGACGCGGCCCAAACUCCUACGGGAGGCAGCAGUGGGGAAUAUUGGACAAUGGGCGCAAGCCUGAUCCAGCCAUGCCGCGUGAGUGAUGACGGCCUUAGGGUUGUAAAGCUCUUUCGCUCGGGACGAUAAUGACGGUACCGAGAUAAGAAGCCCGGCUAACUUCGUGCCAGCAGCCGC